ACCUACGGGACGCAGCAGUAGGGAAUAUUGCUCAAUGGGGGAAACCCUGAAGCAGCAACGCCGCGUGGAGGAUGAAGGUUUUCGGAUUGUAAACUCCUUUUGUUAGAGAAGAUAAUGACGGUAUCUAACGAAUAAGCCCCGGCUAACUACGUGCCAGCAGCCGCGGUAAUACGUAGGGGGCAAGCGUUGUCCGGAUUUACUGGGUGUAAAGGGCGUGCAGCCGGAGAGGCAAGUCAGAUGUGAAAUCCGCGGGCUCAACUCGCGAACUGCAUUUGAAACUGCUUCCCUUGAGUAUCGGAGAGGUA
rnacentral:rRNA from 1 species